rnacentral:rRNA from 1 species
UACGUAGGUGGCAAGCGUUGUCCGGAAUUAUUGGGCGUAAAGCGCGCGCAGGCGGCCUCUUAAGUCUGAUGUGAAAGCCCCCGGCUCAACCCGGGGAGGGCCAUUGGAAACUGGGAGGCUUGAGUAUAGGAGAGAAGAGUGGAAUUCCACGUGUAGCGGUGAAAUGCGUAGAGAUGUGGAGGAACACCAGUGGCGAAGGCGACUCUUUGGCCUAUAACUGACGCUGAGGCGCGAAAGCGUGGGGAGCAAACAGGAU